ensembl:lncRNA LINC02436 long intergenic non-protein coding RNA 2436
AUUCACCAUGGGGAUUGCUUUAAGAGUACUCGGGUGUCCUCCAGCUACUUUUCCUUUCUAACCGUCGCUCUGGCAACCCUUCAACCUGGAUUCGAGCCCCCAAUGGAUGGACACCACUUGCUGAGACCAGCUCGGUCAGGGAGGCCCUAACCCAGCGGCACUAGAGGAAUUAAAGACACACACACAUAAAUAUAGAGUAACAUAGAAUGUUGAUUGUCCUGAGUUCCAGAGCCUCAAAGAGCACCCAGCAUAACUGUGGGAGAAUAGUAAGCAUUGGACACAAAAUGGUUUAGGCAAAUAAUGAUGAACAAAAAUGGUCAGUCUGUGUUCCUGCUGACCCAGCACAGUGGGGACGCUGUGUAGGACAUGACCUUUGGGGGAAAGGACACAAGAACUCAGCGUGGGGGAUCCAGAAAAGAAGUCGCACGUAUUGAAGCCAGUAACGCCAAGCCAGUGAAUUCUCCUUGACGAGAAAGACCCACUUACUCUGCAGAAGAGAUAUAUGACAGCUGACAAUCCCUGGAGGAGAAUCUUUCUACUAAAUUGGUAAGGGAUGCUAAGCAAAUGAUGUGGACUCAGGAAACAACGCAUUUCAUGAUAUACGGUUGCCUCUCAAGGUGAAUUCGAGACCCCUCUUGAAUUACAAAGAGAGUGAAGAAAAGGAGUAAACGUAAAGAUCUACCCCAAUGUAUUUUACAAAAACAUCUACUUGGAAAUACCGUGGUUUAUUAUUCCUGGCGACACAACUUGGCAUUUUUUUCCCCUUUCUGUUGUGCUUCAUUUUAUUGCGCUUCACAGAUACUGAGUUUUUACUUUUUUUCUUUUCUAGUGUUUCUUUGUUAUUUCUUCAGCCUUUAUUUUAAGUUCCUACUCACUUGCAAAUUUUUUUACAGAGUACGAAUGAAUGCCUGAAAGUCAAAGUAUAUGUACCCCGGAACAACUUGUCAUUUAACAACAAAAACAAAACUUUGACAUUCAGGCCUUCAUUUGUACUCUGUAAAAAAUCCGCAAAUGAAUAUUUUCUGAAGGGAAGGAAAGAAGCACCUUUACCAUUUUGUUAUUCUCUUGUUAUCUGUGAAGUUUGAUUUAUUGGAAACUACCAAGAAAGAAAUUAGCAGAAAUCAUCACAGCAAGACUCUUUAAGGAAUGGAUGGAAUUUAGAAAGGAAUUAGCUGGAAAAAAAUGCAAAAUUUUUAAGUGCCAAUUUUCCAUUUAAUUUUCACCAGCAAUCCCCAUUUCACGAAUGCUGUUUCUGAGCUUGAAAUGUCAAAAUAAUCAAAAAUAAACAUAGCUCACGUACUGAAUUUUAUCAUUAAAAUACUUUGUUUUCCA